AGUGAACGCUGGCGGUAGACCUAACACAUGCAAGUCGAACGGCAGCACAGUAAGAGCUUGCUCUUACGGGUGGCGAGUGGCGGACGGGUGAGGAAUACAUCGGAAUCUACUUUUUCGUGGGGGAUAACGUAGGGAAACUUACGCUAAUACCGCAUACGACCUACGGGUGAAAGCAGGGGAUCUUCGGACCUUGCGCGAUUGAAUGAGCCGAUGUCGGAUUAGCUAGUUGGCGGGGUAAAGGCCCACCAAGGCGACGAUCCGUAGCUGGUCUGAGAGGAUGAUCGGCCACACUGGAACUGAGACACGGUCCAGACUCCUACGGGAGGCAGCAGUGGGGAAUAUUGGACAAUGGGCGCAAGCCUGAUCCAGCCAUACCGCGUGAGUGAAGAAGGCCUUCGGGUUGUAAAGCCCUUUUGUUGGGAAAGAAAAGCAGCAGGUUAAUACCCCGCUGUUCUGACGGUACCCAAAGAAUAAGCACCGGCUAACUUCGUG
rnacentral:rRNA from 1 species